UAGGGAAUCUUCGGCAAUGGGGCAACCCUGACCGAGCAACGCCGCGUGAGUGAAGAAGGUUUUCGGAUCGUAAAGCUCUGUUGUAAGAGAAGAACGUGUGUGAGAGUGGAAAGUUCACACAGUGACGGUAACUUACCAGAAAGGGACGGCUAACUACGUCCCAG
rnacentral:rRNA from 1 species